rnacentral:SRP_RNA from 1 species
GCUGGCCACGGUGGCGCGUGCCUGUAAUCCCAGCUACUCGGGAGGCUGAGGCAGGAGAAUUGCCUGAACCCAGGAGGCGGAGGUUGUGGGGAGCCGAGAUUGCGCCACUGCACUCCAGCCUGGGUGACAAGAGAGAGAUGGGCUGGAGUGCAAUGGCGCAAUCUCGGUUCCCCGCAACCUCCGCCUCUUGGGCUCUAAUUAGUCUUAUGCCUCAG